AGUCACUGACAUUAGAUACCCCCGUAGUCCAGGGUGUAAACGCUGCAGACUUGGUGUUGGGAACCCUUCGGGGGUGCUCAGUGCCGGAGAGAAGUUGUUAAGUCUGCUACUUGGGGAGUACGUCCGCAAGGAUGAAACUUAAAGGAAAUUGGCGGGGGAGCACCGCAACGGGAGGAGCGUGCGGUUUAAUUGGAUUCAACGCCGAAAACUCACCAGCAGCGACUGUUACAUGAAAGUCAGGUUGAUGACCUUACUAGAUUUUCAG
rnacentral:rRNA from 1 species